rnacentral:lncRNA from 1 species
ACGACUCUACCUUCAAUCAGAUUAUGUGGAUAGCAACGAAUCAUCACCAUUGUGCCACAUCAGCUACCUCGGUAAUCAUCAGAAAUUGCCAAAAAUUGAAAUUUGUGAUCCGUCGAACUUCUCGAUAUCCAAAAUUAUUGUUGUGUCAUCGAACAAGUUGAUCUGUGGAAGCUGAAUAGUAGCUUUGAUACCAAUUUUUUGGGGAUCGAC